CUGGGAAGUUAGUUCAUUUCAGUCUAUGCCGUGAGCUAGCCAGCGGUGGCUCUGAAAUGGACUCAAACUCUAG
ensembl:miRNA